GAACUGAAGAGUUUGAUCAUGGCUCAGAUUGAACGCUGGCGGCAGGCCUAACACAUGCAAGUCGAGCGGAUGAAGGGAGCUUGCUCCUGGAUUCAGCGGCGGACGGGUGAGUAAUGCCUAGGAAUCUGCCUGGUAGUGGGGGAUAACGUCCGGAAACGGGCGCUAAUACCGCAUACGUCCUGAGGGAGAAAGUGGGGGAUCUUCGGACCUCACGCUAUCAGAUGAGCCUAGGUCGGAUUAGCUAGUUGGUGGGGUAAAGGCCUACCAAGGCGACGAUCCGUAACUGGUCUGAGAGGAUGAUCAGUCACACUGGAACUGAGACACGGUCCAGACUCCUACGGG
rnacentral:rRNA from 1 species